rnacentral:lncRNA from 1 species
CGCUUUGCGAUACUAUGAUACAACUUAUGCUUAUUUUCAAAGAUAUACUAUGCCAGUUAGAAAUGAUUUGAAAAAUGUGUUUUUUUUUCAAAAGAUAUGCAUUGGGCUAGAAUUUAUAGGGAGAAUAUUAUGUAAUAGUAGCCAUUUUUCCAAGAGUAAAAAAAAAAAAGUGUAUGAUAUGUGAAAAUACAACUGAUAUGGCUCAUAGAACGGUUAGGGCAUAUAGAGGAGCAUUGAAUUGUAGAAUCACCAUUCAGUCCUAUGAGAAUUACGUGACUGAUCUGCUCCAUCCACUUGACGAACAUAUACAUGAUGUUUAUGAGAGAUGCAUGACAGCGGUGAAUGCUGGAAUGGAGAUAACGUAUAUUGAGGUUAUAAAUAACCUCAUACACUCCCUUCCACCUCAAUGGAGAGAUAUGAGAGUCACGGUUAGGGAUGUAAUGCUAGAGGAGUACCCAAAUAUAUUUGAGUUUGAAGUGUAUUGCCAAUCACUCCUAGACCUAUGGAGGGAAAACUUAGAACCUCAACCGGAGAUAGUAAUUGAACUUGAUGAAGAAGAAGAGUCUGAAGAAGGGAAUGAUCCUGAGCUCGAGCCACAGGUUGAGAUGGACAUAGAAUCCGGACCUGAGGCGGAAGACUCCUUUGGAGAUGAGGCUCUACCAAAGAAGAUCCGUAGAACUUAUAGGGAUUAGAUUUAAAUCCUUGUAACAACUUCCUUUAUUUCAAGAAAUAAAACUUUAUCUUCUUUGUUAGAAUUCGAAGUAUGAAACUAAUAAGAACCAUACGUUUUGUUUAAAGGAAAAUGGCCCGCGCAAACCAAACCAACUUGAUAAGAGAUCUCCAAGCGGUCCAAGACCUUGGCAGGCAAAACCCGAACCAGGCGCAACCCCUACCACUAGCUCCUAAUGCUCCUCCAACCCAUGCUUCAGUGGUCGAGCAAUUUAGAAGACACAAGCCCCCUACCUUCAAUGGAGCAGCUGAUCCACUUGCAGCCGAGGAGUGGCUUCGCAAGUCGAAGAGAAUAUUCCGAUUAAUAGGGUGCACGGACACCCAGAAGGUCCAGUGUGCUGAGUUUAUGUUCUCCGGUGAUGCAAGCCACUGGUGGAACUCGAUGUCAAGGACGAGGACCCCAGAGCAACAAGCGGAAUUGACUUGGGAGCGAUUUAAAGAGGAAGUAAUGGGCAAGUACUUCCCACAGUCUUUGAGGGAUCACAAAGAAAGUGAAUUUCUCCAACUCAAGCAAAGGACUAUGUCCCUGACUGAGUAUGAAAGGAAGUUUGACCAACUUUCAAGGUAUGCUCCACAUCUAGUGGAUACGGAGGACAAGAAAGUCAGGAGGUUUGAACAAGGAUUGAACCCAGAUAUAAGCAUGAUACUUAUGUCCCAUCGUUUCACCUCAUACCGUGAAAUGCUGGAAAGAGCUCAUGCUAUCUGGUACCAGAAGACUAGCACCGAGCAAUAUAGUCAACUGUUCAAUCAACCGGACAAUGACAGUAUGGAUAAAAGGAAAUGAAAUGGCCAGGACAAGGGAAAGGGCAAGUGGCAGAACAAGAAAGCUAAUGGGGGAGCCAAUGCCAACAAGAACAUUGUGCCAGUUAUAGAGCCAUGUCCUAAGUGUUUAAAGACGCAUCGUGGCGUGUGUUUGCAAGGGAAAAAUGUCUGUUUCAGAUGUGGCAAGCCAGGGCAUAUUUUUAAGGAUUGCCCCACAUUUACCCCGAAGAAGGAUGAUAACAAUGACUAGAACCAGAAAGGGAAAGCAUGAGUUUUGCAAUGACUCAGAAAGAUGCAGAGGAAAACUCGAACGUCAUAACAGGUACUUUAUUGAUAGCCAAUACGCCUGCGUAUGUAUUGUUUGAUUCAGGAGCCACACACUCCUUUGUAUCGACAACUUUUAUGGCUAAAUCUAGUAUUACCUGUGAUAAGUCGGAAGGUACGUUAGAGGUUAGCAUUCCUUCAGGCAACCCUUUGAGUACUGAUAGAAUAGCCAAAUCAGUAAGUAUUGAAGUUGAGGGAAAACCAAUGGAAGCGAACCUAUACAUGAUAGAAAUGAAGGAUUUUGAUGUAAUACUAGGCAUGGAUUGGUUGGGUUGUAAUUACGUCACCAUCCGAUGUAAGGAAAGGGAGGUAUCAUUUCAGAAACCAGGAGAGGAACCAUUUUCGUUCUUGAAAUGAAGACGAAACCCCUUAUUCGACCAGUAUCGGCUUUACAAGCUGAGAAGAUGUUGAGAAAAUAAACAUGUCAAGGAUAUUUAGUAAACAUCUCAGGAGGGAAACAAGAGACGAUAAAGGUUGAAGAUGCACUAAUAGUAUGGGGAUUCGUAGAUGUGUUUCCAGGAGAUCUAUCUGGUAUUCUACCAGAUAGGCAAGUGGAAUUCACCAUAGACCUAAUUCUCGGAGCGGCACCAGUGUCAAAAGCCUCAUAUCGAAUGACCCCGAAGGAACUACAAGAGUUAAAGAAGCAGUUGCAAGAACUCCUAGAUAUGGGCUUUAUACGGUUAAGUGUAUUUCCAUGGGGUGCGUCGGUGUUGUUCGUGAAGAAAAAGGAUGGAAGCAUGAGGAUGUGCAUCAAUUAUAGGGAGUUAAAUCGAUUAACUAUCAAGAAUAAGUACCUACUCCCGAGAAUCGAGGAUCUCUUAGAUCAAUUGAAAGGAGCUAAGGUAUUUUCCAAGAUCGACUUACGAUUGGGAUACCAUCAAUUGAAAGUAAAGUCAAAGGAUAUAUCCAAAACAGUUUUCAGAACUCGUUAUGGACACUACGAGUUUACAGUGAUGUCGUUUGGGCUAACCAAUGCACCUGCAGUGUUCAUGGACCUGAUGUAUCGUGUAUUUCAUCAGUACUUGGAUAAAUUUGUCAUGGUCUUCAUUGAUGACAUUUUGAUAUAUUCCAAGAGUAAGGAGCAACAUGAAAAGCACCUAAGAAUAGCAUUGGAGGUAUUACGCAAGGAGAAGCUGUAAGCCAAAUUCAAGAAGUGUGAGUUUUGGCUUGAACGAGUUGGAUUUCUUGGACAUAUAGUCACUGCCCAAAGGAUUGAGGUAGAUCCAGCGAAAGUGGAAGCAGUAACCAAUUGGAAAGCACCAACUAAUGCUGGCGAGGUAUGGAGCUUUCUAGGAUUAGCAGGAUAUUAUCGGAGAUUCAUAGAAGGAUUCUCCAAAAUAACUGGACCAAUGACGCAGCUUACAAGGAAGGGAGUAUGUAAAAUCUCAAGGAGUAUGGUUCUGCUACAGGAGUAUUUGCUGAUCCUGCAAAGACUCGGGCAAUUGUUGAGUGGCCUGAUCCCAAGAAUAUACAUGAUAGGAGUUUUCAUGGUUUAGCUACCUUUUAUCGUCGUUUCAUCAAGGGAUUUAGUACGAUCAUGUCUCCUAUCACAGAGUGUAUGAAGAGAGGAGAAUUUCAUUGGACACAGGAAGCGACUAAGGCCUUUCAGUUUAUCAAAAGGCGAAUGACUGAGGCUCCUGUCAUGCGACUCCCAGAUUUCUCCGAAGUUUUUGAGGUCGAAUGUGAUGCGUCAGGGGUGGGAAUAGGUGGAGUCUUGAGUCAAGAACGCUAUCCUAUUGCUUAUUUUAGUGAGAAAUUAAAUGAUGUCGAGCAACGAUACUCGACUUAUGAUAAGGAAUUGUACGCAAUUGUACAAGCCUUGCUCUAUUAGCGUCAUUACUUAUUACCCCACGAAUUUGUCCUCUUUUCUGACCAUGAGGCCCUUCGUUUCCUUAAUUCCCAGAGACGAUUGAAUUCUAGGCAUGGCCGUUGGAUCAAAUAUUUGCAGGCCUAUUCUUUUGGCUUAAAGCAUAAAAAUGGUGUUGAAAACCGAGUUGCUGACGCUUUAAACCGUCGCAUCUCCUUGUUGUCCGUCAUCAGUGUUAAGGUUCUAGGGUUUGAACGACUUAAGGAAGAGUACGAGUCAUGUCCCGAUUUCAGGAACAUUUUUCUUGCUUUGCAAAAUGGGAAGUUGGACACCACUGAUGUUUCCGUUUGGAGGAGGGCUAUCUUUUUAUAUCCAAUAAGUUGUGCAUCCCAAGGACUUCAAUGCGAGACUUUAUAGUGUGGGAAAGUCAUGCUAGUGGGUUGGCUGGACAUUUUGGGCGUGAUAAGACCAUAGAGGAAAUUGAACGUCAAUUCUAUUGGCCUAGUUUAAAGACAGACGUGGCCAAGAUUGUUGGCACAUGUAACACCUAUCAACGAUCUAAGCAAAAAAGGCAGAACACAGGCCUCUACACUCCUCUCCCCGUCCCUAUUUGUCCUUGGCAAGACGUGAGUAUGGAUUUCGUGCUAGGGUUGCCACGCACUCCAAAGAAACACGACUCCAUUUUCGUUGUCGUAGAUCGCUUUUGGAAAAUGGCACACUUUAUUCCCUGUAACAAGGCUUCCGAUGCAUCUAAGGUUGCUAAGUUAUACUUCCAUUAGAUCGUCAAGCUGUAUGGCCUCCCUAAGACCAUUGUCUCGGAUAGGGAUGUUUGUUUCACUAGCCAUUUUUGGCGAACCCUAUGGAGUAUGGUUAACACUAAACUGAAAUUCUCUACUGCAUACCACCCACAAACGGAUGGUCAAACUGAAGUUGUUAACUGUAGUCUUGGUAAUCUAUUAAAAUGUCUAGUCUAGAAAAAUCUUAGGAAUUGGGACUUAAUUCUUCCUACUGCCCAACUUGCAUAUAACAGUUCAGUGAAUCGGUCUAUAGGUAUGAGUCCUUUUGAGGUUGUUCAUGAUUUUAAGCUUAGGAAGCCGUUAGACCUUAUUCCCAUAUCUCCACAUGCUAGUGUGUUUGUGUCAGCUGAGUCUUUUGCACAACAUCUGCGUGACCUGCAUAUUGAGAUCAAUAAACAGUUAGAAGCGAAACGCCAUGUUGAAUUUGAUGUUGGGGAUUAUGUUAUGAUUUAAAUUAGACCGGAAUGGCGUCCAUCGGGGCCUGUUUCCAAAUUACAAGCUCGUAGUGCUGGUCCUUUUAAAAUUUUAAAGCGUGUUGGUCCAAAUGCUUAUGUCAUUGACUUACCAUCACAUUUUGGCUACCACCCUACCUUUAAUGUUGAAGACUUAGUUGUUUACAGAGGCCAAUUUCACCCCGCUGAUGAUCCUUUCACACCUCCAUCUCUGGACCCUCAUCCUGAACAUGUUAUCCCUACCCCAAUUCCACCUGCUGCAGUACAUAAAGAUAAAAUUGAUGCUAUUCUAGAUGCACAGACCAUAUUAACCAAGGAAGGAGACAUUCAACACUUCUUUGUUCGUUGGGCGGGCUGUCUUGAUUCUGAUUGUACUUGGAUCUCCAAAGGGAUACUUCAACAGCUUGAUCCUGAUUUGUUGGGGCAUUAUAGGAGUCAACAAAAUCUUCCCCUACCCGGACCACCACCCUUGCGUGUCUAUAGACGUCGAAAGAAGUUUGCUGAACCGAUCAGUUUGUGGCUAGGAAAUUGACAGCAGCCUUUUAUGAUCUACCUCCUCGACGGGGUCGAGUUUUUCUCCCACCCCGGGUGAGUUGAUGCAGACAUCAUCCUCAUCGGGCCAUUUGUUAGACCAUUUUAUCUUCUAGUUAUUUAUUUUGAGCUUAUGUCUCAUUGGGCUUGUAUAUAAGUUUGGCCCAAGCCCAAGUUAUUAUUUUGUUAUUUAUAUUAUUGUAAUUGGGAUUGAAAAGGCAGUUGAUGAAGGAAUGAAUUGAAUUGUGGUUUGCUACGUUUUCUUCCUCCCCUCUCCUCUCUCCUCUCGGUUUCUCCCCUUUUUCUUCUUCUUCUUCUUCUUCUUCUUCUUCUGUGGAUCUAUCUUCUCCUUCCUCUCAGGUUGUUUUUUUCUGCUGCAUCUAUUCUGCCUCUCCUGCUUGUUAUUUCUGAAAUUCUAUUAAUCCUACAUCAGGAUGCCUAUUUUGUUUAGCCAUUGGACAAAUAGUACAAAGGAAUUCUUUAGGACUAGAGAUUACAUUAGAAUUGGAAUUAACGUAACUUUUUAAACAAGUAGGAGACCAGUGACCUAGGCGAAAAUGCCAAAGAUUAAAACAACUUGAAAUUGCAGAGGAAGUAGCACAUGUAGGAGACUCUGUAGGAAACCUUGACAGAUGAUACGAUCCUCAUUUUUCUUCACCAAUACCAAUCGUCGUCCAUGAGAUAGGGUCCUGAAUAAAGCAGUAACGAGAUAGAAAAAUUAAGCAACUAUUAGAACUGUGUGUGAGUUUACUGGCUGAUAGCAAGUUAAAAGAAAAGGAAGGAACACACAAGACAUUUGUUAAACGAAGUUUAUUUGAAAUGAGAAUAGUGCCAAUAUGAGUAACUCGUACAGAAGCACCGGUAGGUAAUUGAACAAAAGAAUUUACUUUAGCUAUUAUAGUGUUGAGAAGAGAAGUUGAAGACACCAUGUGGUCUGUUGCUCCCAUAUCAAUAAUCCAGGGAGCAUUCGAAAAAGAAGUAGGAGUAGAAGAAAAUGAUAGGCAAUGAUGUAUAUAUGUCAUAUUGCAUAAUUUGCAUUGAGGCUGAAAUGAUGGGGGUGAGGUUAUCACACUUGACCAAAGAAGCGUCAACGGGUGGAGCAUUGACUGGUUUAAGUAAAUUGAGGAGCUGAUUGUAUUGUUCUUGAGUGAGUAGCAUUGAAGAAAGAUUCUGCUCGCUGGAAGAUGCCACUGAAUGAACUUGGCUUGAAGAAUUAAUUCCUUUACUCUUGCCUGAUUUAAAACCCUAGAGGAAAACCAAUAAUUCUGAAGCACUUGUCAGUCGUGUGGGAGGUAUAACCACAUUCAGCACAAUAUAAUUUUCCUUUUCGAGGACCAGAUGGCUGCUUGAAUGAACCAAAUGAAUAUUGAGGCAGAGAAGGACUAGGUGCUGUCUUGCUAGCCAGAGCAGCAGAGUCAAACUGAGGAGUAUAAUGACCAAUAUGUAUUUGAGUUUCCUCUUGUAAAAUCAAAGAGAAAACUUUGUUGAGAGAAGGCGAGGGAUCAGAUAACAGUAUUUGACCUCUUAAUGCAGCAAAACUCUCAUUCAGUCCCAUAAGAAAGUGCAGAACGUAAUCUUGAAGAUGAUAAUACAGUAGAGUUUUAACACUAGGACUGGAAUCAUUAGGUAAAGGACGAUAAUUGAAAUAUUCAUCCCACAAGGUUUUGAACUUGGUGAAAUAAUUAGUCACUGACGACGAACCUUGAGUAAGAGCGCAGAUCAACUUUUUCGAUUGAAAGAUGUGUGGAGCAUUUCCUUGACUAAAUCUCUCUUCCAGUUCUUUCUACAGGUCAGAUGUAGUAGCAAUAUAAAGAACACUAGCAGCAAUAUCUUUAUUCAAGGAGUUUAAGAUCCAAGAGCAAACAAUGUCAUUACAACGAAUCCAUCCUUGAUAAGAAGGAUCAGUUGUAGAUGGCUUUGGGAGAUUUCCAUUGAUAAAGCCAAGCUUGUUCUUGGCAGAGUUGGCCAUGGACAUUGAUCUCUUCCAAGGAAAGAAAUUGGAUCCGUUAAGAACUUAAGAAACCCAUACAGUACCAGGACUGUCAUUGUUUGCUAAGAACAAAGGAUUAGAAGAAUCUUCAGCAGCCAUAAUCACAAUCAGCAAAGGAACUAAUAUAGAACGCAGUAGAAGACAUUAAAUUGCUUUGAUACCAUAUCAAAAAAGGAGCUAGAAAAAGGUAAAAGAAUGGGUGAAUACGGAGAGAAUCAGACUCUCUUUUCUUUUGUAUUCUGUAAAAAACUGAUUGAUGUUUGUACAUUGAUUCUAUUUAUAGAAUUAGCUAUCAAAUUGCCAGCUACAGGUAACUGCAUUCGAACUGCUAACUAACAGCUGUAACUAUUUAUUCCAGCUCAUCUUUUCUAACUUCAACCGCCUGUAACUGCAGCUUCAACUUUAGUUUUUGUUUCAGCUUCAGCCACCGGUUUUGCUUCAACAAGUUGUUAGGUUGUAACACUGUUUCUUUUCAUCUUUUGAUUCAAUUCAGCUUGUGAGCACAUUUAAUCAAGGAACUUUGCACUCAUCAUCUGCGUCUGGUUUUAUGUCCAUUUGUAAACAAAACUUCUAACCUUUGAAAUGCCUGGUUGCACAUGUUUUCUUUAUCUUUCCUUUCCUUGCACAAGCAAACGUUGAAUCGCCUCUUCCUUAUGAUGAUAUUAUUUCUCAGAAAUUGCUCAAGAUUAUAAAAAAACAGUAAACAUAUUCAAAAAACUGUCUUUGUACUUCCUUUUUGUAGCCAUUCGCGGAGAUUGGUUUCUUGAUUUCUGACACACUAGAUGAAAGGAUCAAGCAAGGAUCACCAGGUACAAAUCAUUCCACGUGGUAGGAAAUUUUAUCUUCUAAUCACUUCUUCGGUUUUGUAAUAUAUUAGAAAGUUUUGUUCUCUGUUCUAUGUUUGGUGUAAAUAAAAUUGUAUCGUUGAUUUAAAUAGUGAAUUUUGUUAGUUGCAUAUAGAGAUAGAUACACAUAUACAAGUUAAGCAAGUUUUCUA